UAAACCUAGCCCACAGUUCCAUCCAAUCAAAUAAUCAAGAUAAAAUAAAAUAAAACAUUUACCAACCACUUAAAAGUAUAGGAGAUAGAAAUUUUAAACACGGCGCUAUAGAAAAAGUACCGCAAGGGAAUGAUGAAAGAAAAGAUCAAGUACAAAAAGCAAAGAUUACCCCUUGUACCUUUUGCAUAAUGAAUUAACUAGCAACAACUUAACAAAAUGAAUUUUAGCUAAGUAACCCGAAACCAGACGAGCUACUUAUGAACAGUUUACCCAGAACCAACUCAUCUAUGUAGCAAAAUAGUGAGAAGAUUUAUAAGUAGAGGUGACACGCCUAACGAGCCUGGUGAUAGCUGGUUGUCCAGAAAAUGAGUCUCAGCUCAGCUUUAAAAAUACCAAAAAAUCUAAACAAAUCUCCAACUGUAUUUUUAAAAGUUAGUCUAAAAAGGUACAGCCUUUUAGAAACGGAUACAACCUUUACUAGAGAGUAAAAUUUCAAAAUACCAUAGUAGGCCUAAAAGCAGCCACCAAUUAAGAAAGCGUUAAAGCUCAACAUCUAAACUACAUAAAUUCCAACAACAAGUAGUCAACUCCUAGCCCUAAUACUGGACUAAUCUAUUUACCAAUAGAAGAGAUAAUGUUAGUAUGAGUAACAAGAAAUAAUUUCUCCUCGGCAUAAGCUUAAAUCAGUAUCUGAUAAUACCCUGAUUGUUAACAGCAAAUAAAAAUAACCCAACAAUAGACUAUUUAUUAAUCACACUGUUAACCCAACACAGGUAUGCUCCAAGGAAAGAUUAAAAGAAGUAAAAGGAACUCGGCAAA
rnacentral:rRNA from 1 species